rnacentral:lncRNA from 1 species
AACUUGACCAAUUCACUCACAAACCAAAAAAAGUCGAAGUAGUUUCAUGAUAUGUUUGUGAGUGACUUGGUCCAGUUAAUACACCAAAACAUUCUUUCAAAAAGGCGUUUAAUUCUUUAAAAUUGUAGAAAAGGAAUAUAUUUUUCAACACCCUUAACCUCUAUCACAUGUUAAUGUAUAUAUAUUUGUGUCAUUGAAUAGACCUGG